GAAAGAAAGAAAGAAAGAGAAAGAAGAGAAAAAGGAAAACACCAACAACAAGAACGCUU
rnacentral:ribozyme from 14 species